GUCGAACGAGAUCUUCGGAUCUAGUGGCGCACGGGUGCGUAACGCGUGGGAAUCUGCCCUUGGGUUCGGAAUAACAGCGGGAAACUGCUGCUAAUACCGGAUGAUGACGAAAGUCCAAAGAUUUAUCGCCCAAGGAUGAGCCCGCGUAGGAUUAGGUAGUUGGUGGGGUAAAGGCCUACCAAGCCUACGAUCCUUAGCUGGUCUGAGAGGAUGAUCAGCCACACUGGGACUGAGACACGGCCCAGACUCCUACGGGAGGCAGCAGUAGGGAAUAUUGGACAAUGGGGGCAACCCUGAUCCAGCAAUGCCGCGUGAGUGAUGAAGGCCUUAGGGUUGUAAAGCUCUUUUACCCGGGAUGAUAAUGACAGUACCGGGAGAAUAAGCCCCGGCUAACUCCGUGCCAGCAGCCGCGGUAAUACGGAGGGGGCUAGCGUUGUUCGGAAUUACUGGGCGUAAAGCGCACGUAGGCGGCGAUUUAAGUCAGAGGUGAAAGCCCGGGGCUCAACCCCGGAACUGCC
rnacentral:rRNA from 1 species